GCGACCCCAGGAUGGGCGAGGCCACCCGCUGAGUUA
rnacentral:rRNA from 1 species